UUCGGAUUGUAGUCUGCAACCCGACUACAUGAAGCUGGAAUCGCUAGUAAUCGCGGAUCAGAAUGCCGCGGUGAAUACGUUCCCGGGUCUUGUACACACCGCCCGUCACACCAUGGGAGUCGGAAAUGCCCGAAGUCUGUGACCCAACCUACGGGAGGGAGCAGCCGAAGGCAGGUCGGAUGACUGGGUGAAGUCGUAACAAGGUAUC
rnacentral:rRNA from 1 species